UACAGAGGUCUCAAGCGUUGUUCGGAUUCAUUGGGCGUAAAGGGUGCGUAGGCGGCGCGGUAAGUCGGGUGUGAAAUUUCGGAGCUUAACUCCGAAACUGCAUUCGAUACUGGCGUGCUUGAGGACUGGAGAGGAGACUGGAAUUCAUGGUGUAGCAGUGAAAUGCGUAGAGAUCAUGAGGAAGACCAGUGGCGAAGGCGGGUCUCUGGACAGUUCCUGACACUGAGACACGAAGGCCAGGGGGGCAAACGGG
rnacentral:rRNA from 1 species